rnacentral:rRNA from 1 species
UACGUAGGGUGCAAGCGUUAAUCGGAAUUACUGGGCGUAAAGCGUGCGCAGGCGGUUUUGUAAGUCUGUCGUGAAAUCCCCGGGCUCAACCUGGGAAUUGCGAUGGAGACUGCAAGGCUAGAAUCUGGCAGAGGGGGGUAGAAUUCCACGUGUAGCAGUGAAAUGCGUAGAGAUGCGGAGGAACACCGAUGGCGAAGGCAGCCCCCUGGGCUAACACUGACGCUCAGGCACGAAAGCGUGGGGAGCAAACAGG